ACACUUUUUUACAAAA
rnacentral:rRNA from 1 species